rnacentral:rRNA from 1 species
UGCCAGACUCCUACGGGAGGCAGCAGUGGGGGAUAUUGCACAAUGGGGGGAACCCUGAUGCAGCGACGCCGCGUGGGUGAAGAAGCGCCUCGGCGCGUAAAGCCCUGUCAGCAGGGAAGAAAAUGACGGUACCUGAAGAAGAAGCCCCGGCUAACUACGUGCCAGCAGCCGCGGUAAUACGUAGGGGGCAAGCGUUAUCCGGAUUCACUGGGUGUAAAGGGAGCGUAGACGGCCGUGCAAGCCAGGAGUGAAAGCCCGGGGGCCAACCCCGGGACUGCUCUUGGAACUGGGCGGCUAGAGUGCGGGAGGGGCAGGCGGAAUUCCUGGGGUAGCGGUGAAAUGCGUAGAUAUCAGGAGGAACACCGGCGGCGAAGGCGGCCUGCUGGACCGCGACUGACGUUGAGGCUCGAAAGCGUGGGGAGCGAACA